rnacentral:lncRNA from 1 species
AUGGGAAAUGUAGUGCAGUUUUUCUCCAACAUGGCGGCGCCAGGUAUUGUCAUGAACAGCAACCACCAAAGUAAUUACAAGCUCAGUAAAACUGAGAAGAAACUCUUAAGGAAACAAAUUAAAGCCAGGCAUACUUUGCUGAGACAUGAAGGCAUUGAGACAGUAUCUUAUGCUACUCAGAGUCUGAUUGUUGCCAAUGGUGGUUUGGGUAAUCAAGUGAGUAGGAACCAACUGCUCCCAGUUUUAGAGAAAUGUGGAUUGGUGGAUGCUCUCUUAAUGCCACCUAAUAAACCCUACUCAUGUGUAAGAUACAAAACUGUAGAAGAAUCCAAGAAAGCCUAUGAUACGCUCAAUGGCAAAGAAAUAGUGGAUGAUUUAGGACAAAAGAUCAUCCUGUACUUGAAUUUUGUGGAAAAAGCACAGUGGAAAGAGUUGGGGCUUCAAGCCUUGCCUCCAGGUCUCAAAGUAAUAGAAGAAAUUAUUUCUUCUGAGGAUGAGAAAAUGCUUUUGGAGAGUGUUAACUGGACAGAAGAUACAGACAAUCAAAAUUUUCAAAAAUCCUUGAAACACAGAAGAGUAAAGCAUUUUGGCUAUGAAUUCCACUAUGAGAACAACAAUGUAGAUAAAGAUAAACCGUUACCUGGGGGUCUUCCUGACAUUUGUGAGAGCAUUUUAGAGAAAUGGUUGAAGGAAGGAUUCAUUAAACAUAAACCUGAUCAAUUGACUAUAAACCAGUAUGAACCUGGGCAUGGAAUUCCUGCUCAUAUUGACACACAUUCUGCUUUUGAGGAUGAGAUCAUUUCUCUCAGUUUGGGAUCAGAGAUUGUCAUGGAUUUUAAGCACCCAGAUGGUAUGACAGUGCCAGUUAUGCUGCCCUGUCGGAGUUUGCUGGUGAUGACAGGAGAAUCUAGAUACCUUUGGACCCAUGGAAUCACACCCAGAAAAUUUGAUACUGUUCAAGCAUCCAAGGGUCACAAAAGUGGAAUUAUCACCAGUGAUGUUGAAGACUUAACUUUAAACAAGAGGGGGAUACGGACAUCAUUUACGUUUAGGAAAGUGAGGCAAACACCUUGUAAUUGUAGUUACCCUUUGGUCUGUGAUAGCCAGAUGAAGGAGACUCCUGCAUCAUUUCCAGAGAGUGAUAAAGAAGCCUUACAACUAGAGCAAGAUUAUGUCCAUCGGGUUUAUGAAGAAAUUGCUAGGCACUUCAGCAGCACGAGACACACCCCUUGGCCACAUAUAGUAGAGUUUUUGAAAGCUUUGCCGAGUGGUUCAUUAGUUGCUGAUAUUGGAUGUGGAAAUGGAAAGUAUCUUGGCAUCAAUAAGGAGUUAUAUAUGAUUGGCUGUGAUCAUAGCCAAAAUCUUGUGGACAUUUGUAGAGAGAGGCAAUAUCAGGCCUUUGUCUGUGAUGCUUUGGCAGUACCAAUCCGCAGUGGAUCUUGUGAUGCUUGCAUUUCCAUUGCUGUUAUUCACCAUUUUGCUACAGUAGAGCGUAGAGUGGCAGCUCUCCAAGAACUUGUUCGACUCCUAAGACCUGGUGGGAAGGCACUCAUCUAUGUUUGGGCUAUGGAGCAAGAAUAUAAUAAGAAGAAGUCCAAGUAUCUUAGAGAAAACAGAACUAACCAAGGCAGGAAAGAGGAAAUCAGCAAUGAUACAUCAGUGCAAGAGUUGCUUGUGAAGCAGUUGCCUAAUGUAGGCAAUCAAGACUCAGCACAUUCUGUCUCCUCCAUAACUGACUUUCAAGAUGGAGGAUGUAAUUCAAGGAAUGUUGCUAAUUCCAAGUUGCCUAUUCAUACUAACAGGACUUCUUUUCAUUCUCAAGACUUACUGGUUCCCUGGCACUUUAAGGGAACUCCUGGUAAGGACAAGCGUGUUGAGCCAUUUGGUCCAUUAGGAUCCUGUGACCCAGGUCCUGUGUUUCAUCGUUAUUACCAUGUGUUUUGUGAGGGAGAAUUGGAAGCUGCCUGUCGGACUUUGAGUAAUAUCAGCAUACUGCAAAGUUACUAUGAUCAGGGGAACUGGUGUGUAAUUCUUCAAAAGGUCUGAUUAUCUCUAUGAACAUAUUAUAUAUAGGGAAGAAGUGCUCGACUUUUUUUUUUUUUAAUGAGAUUAAAUUACCUAUAUUUUUUAAUUAAAGAGAAAAUGUGUGGAAAAGUAUCAAAGGAGAGUGCCUGGGAGAAAUUUGAAAGUAGAGACUAGUUAGGAUAUAUUCAGUCUACUACUAUUACUGACAUCACUUAAUCCAUGAUGGAGGAACAAGGAUGGUUUUAAAAGUAAUUGAAGUAGUUCGUGAAAUAUUUGGGAUCUUAGGCUAAGAGUACAGCAUUUUGAAGAUAAACUUUUGUUAUAAAGUGUUGAUAAAUGAACUAAAUUAUGUAGACUCUUAAUGAAGUAAUCACAUAACAUUUUAUCAAUAAUAAAAUAUUCCUGUUCAGUAGAAAAUUGUCUGAA